CAGGAUGAACGCUGGCGGCGUGCUUAACACAUGCAAGUCGAGCGGGAAUGCAGAGGCGGAAUUCUUCGGAAGGAAGCCUUUGUGUUUUAGCGGCGGACGGGUGAGUAACGCGUGGAUAACCUGCCCCAUACCGGGGGAUAACAGUUAGAAAUGACUGCUAAUACCGCAUAAGCGCACGGCGCCGCAUGGCACAGUGUGAAAAACUCCGGUGGUAUGGGAUGGAUCCGCGUCUGAUUAGCUAGUUGGCGGGGUAACGGCCCACCAAGGCAGCGAUCAGUAGCCGACCUGAGAGGGUGGCCGGCCACAUUGGGACUGAGACACGGCCCAAACUCCUACGGGAGGCAGCAGUGGGGAAUAUUGCACAAUGGGGGAAACCCUGAUGCAGCAACGCCGCGUGAGUGAAGAAGUAUUUCGGUAUGUAAAGCUCUAUCAGCAGGGAAGAAGAAGGACGGUACCUGACUAAGAAGCCCCGGCUAACUACGUGCCAGCAGCCGCGGUAAUACGUAGGGGGCGAGCGUUAUCCGGAUUUACUGGGUGUAAAGGGAGCGUAGACGGUUAAUCAAGUCUGAAGUGAAAGCCCGCGGCUCAACUGCGGAGCGGCUUUGGAAACUGAGUAACUGGAGUGCUGGAGGGGCAGGCGGAAUUCCUGGUGUAGCGGUGAAAUGCGUAGAUAUCAGGAGGAACACCGGUGGCGAAGGCGGCCUGCUGGACAGUAACUGACGCUGAGGCUCGAAAUCGUGGGGAGCAAACAGGAUUAGAUACCCUGGUAGUCCACGCGGUAAACG
rnacentral:rRNA from 1 species